CCUACGGGAGGCAGCAGUGGGGAAUAUUGGGCAAUGGGCGCAAGCCUGACCCAGCAACGCCGCGUGAAGGAAGAAGGCUUUCGGGUUGUAAACUUCUUUUGUCAGGGAAGAGUAGAAGACGGUACCUGACGAAUAAGCCACGGCUAACUACGUGCCAGCAGCCGCGGUAAUACGUAGGUGGCAAGCGUUAUCCGGAUUUAUUGGGUGUAAAGGGCGUGUAGGCGGGAAAGCAAGUCAGAUGUGAAAACUCAGGGCUCAACCCUGAGCCUGCAUUUGAAACUGUUUUUCGUGAGUGCUGGAGAGGCAAUCGGAAUUCCGGGUGUAGCGGUGAAAUGCGUAGAUAGACGGAGGAACACCAGUGGCGAAGGCGGAUUGCUGGACAGUAACUGACGCUGAGGCGCGAAAGCGUGGGGAGCAAACAGGAUUAGAUACCCCAGUAGUC
rnacentral:rRNA from 1 species